GUGGGUAUAGCUCAGUUGGUAGAGCACCGGGUUGUGGCCCCGGUUGUCGUGGGUUCGAGCCCCACUACUCACCCCA
rnacentral:tRNA from 1 species